rnacentral:rRNA from 1 species
UACGUAGGCAGCAAGCGUUGUUCGGAGUUACUGGGCGUAAAGAGUAUGUAGGCGGUGUUCUAAGUUCGGUGUGAAAUCUCCCGGCUCAACUGGGAGGGUGCGCCGAAGACUGGGAUGCUGGAGUCUCGGAGAGGAACGCGGAAUUCCUGGUGUAGCGGUGAAAUGCGUAGAUAUCAGGAGGAACACCAGUGGUGUAGACGGCGUUCUGGACGAGUACUGACGCUGAGAUACGAAAGCGUGGGGGAGCAAACAGG